rnacentral:rRNA from 1 species
CAGCAGCACGGGAAUACAGAGGGUGCGAGCGUUAAUCGGAUUUACUGGGCGUAAAGCGUGCGUAGGCGGCUAAUUGAGUCGGAUGUGAAAUCCCCGAGCUUAACUUGGGAAUUGCAUUCGAUACUGGUUAGCUAGAGUGUGGGAGAGGAUGGUAGAAUUCCAGGUGUAGCGGUGAAAUGCGUAGAGAUCUGGAGGAAUACCGAUGGCGAAGGCAGCCAUCUGGCCUAAUACUGACGCUGAGGUACGAAAGCAUGGGGAGCAAACAGGAUUAGAUACCCGUGUAGUCCCUGUCUCUUAUACA